CACGUGGCCCGAAGCGUCCCCGCCAUGUUCUCUCUGCGUUUUUGUCGUGAAAGAUUCGAGCUGUGACAACCUAUAACUACCGAUUCGAGCUGUGACAACUUUGAAUGCGCAUCAUAAUUACAGCUAACCAUAUAAAUGGAUGAAUCAGGAUGACACACACAUACCUGACUGAGUUAAAUUCAUAUAAAUGGAUGAAUCAGGAUGACACACACAUAUCUGACUGAGUUAAAUU